UACGAAGGGGGCGAGCGUUGUUCGGAAUUACUGGGCGUAAAGGGCGCGCAGGCGGCUUUUCAAGUCAGAUGUGAAAGCCCCGGGCUCAACCUGGGAAUAGCAUUUGGGACUGGAAGGCUGGAGUUCGGGAGAGGUGGGUGGAAUUCCCAGUGUAGAGGUGAAAUUCGUAGAUAUUGGGAAGAACACCGGUGGCGAAGGCGGCUCACUGGACCGAGACUGACGCUGAGGCGCGAAAGCGUGGGGAGCAAACAGG
rnacentral:rRNA from 1 species